CACGGCUUCCCCUCCUUGGGCUUCUGCGAGGAUUGGAAGACACAGAAGACGUCCGCUAGCGUUGGCUGUAGGGCUCGUGAUUGCUGGUGUGCAAUGUGUAGUUUUGUGGCUUUGCUUGCCCUCAAUAGGAGUGGCAGCAGGGACUGCAUCUGGUUCGCUGGAUUGGUGUCCCCAGUGUUUUGUAUUGGGGAGUACGUACGGGCUGCCAUGUUAAGCAGGGAAUUGGAAAGCGAGAGGGGCGGGGCGGAAAAACAGGCUGCUCACUUUCUCUGUCAUCGCUAGCCUCAUCGCUCCUGUCGCAACCGAUCUCAGAUCAUCACGAGGAAAGUAAAUCACGUUUCCGUGCAUGCAUGGUGGCAUGCAUGCAUGAUGGUUUUCAAUUGCUUCGUGGUUUUUGUUUGCUUGAGAGUUUCAAUUGAGUUUUGCUGAUGAGUGACUUUUGGACGAUCCGAUAAUCUGUAUCGCAGUGAUGAUCGAAUCAGCCAGUACACUGACUUCACGUCUGCUAUCAUCUGUUAACAAGUAGUGGUCAUCAUAUUUAUGUGUGGGAGUACUAUCUGUACUUGGCUUCACUUUUUGAACAUCAGCGCAUCAAUGCUUGGCUCCUUGUGCUGUUACCGUGGGCGCUCUGCAUACCGCGGCCAGAGAGUCUCAACACUAUUUUUAAAAAAUAUCAAACAACAUUUCGUACUAUUGUUUUUUUCCUUUCAAAUUACCCUUCACUCGAUUGAGUGGUUUGUUAAGUUGUCCAUGUCAUCGUUAUCAAAUUGAAUAAAAAAUUCCCUGCACUCUCAAGGAAUAAACAAAUUCAUUGUCAUCAAAUUUAACAAACCACAUUCCGCUUCUUUCUAGUUUACAUUUCGGAUGAAAACUCCAACAUAAAGACACGAACAACCAAUAGCUUAUUAAAUAUGUGUACCUAUUUUUACUGUGGAACAGGUGUUCAAGUCGCUUAUUGCUACUCUUCAAUUUAAAUGUCACGAUUUGGAUCUUGCUCGGGGAGGAAAUUCUUCAGGAUAUUUU